UACGGAGGGGGCUAGCGUUGUUCGGAAUUACUGGGCGUAAAGCGCGCGUAGGCGGACCUGCAAGUCGGGGGUGAAAGCCCGAGGCUCAACCUCGGAACUGCCUUCGAUACUGCGGGUCUCGAGUCCGGGAGAGGGUGAGUGGAAUUCCUAGUGUAGAGGUGAAAUUCGUAGAUAUUAGGAAGAACACCAGUGGCGAAGGCGGCUCACUGGCCCGGUACUGGACGCUGAG
rnacentral:rRNA from 1 species